UACGUAGGGGGCAAGCGUUGUCCGGAAUCAUUGGGCGUAAAGAGCGUGUAGGCGGCCAGAUAAGUCCGCUGUGAAAUCUCGAGGCUCAACUUCGAGCUGUCGGUGGAAACCGUCUGGCUAGAGUCCGGAAGAGGAGAAUGGAAUUCCUGGUGUAGCGGUGAAAUGCGCAGAUAUCAGGAGGAACACCGAUGGCGAAGGCAGGUCUCUGGGCCACUACUGACGCUGAGAAGCGAAAGCAUGGGGAGCGAACAGG
rnacentral:rRNA from 1 species